rnacentral:rRNA from 1 species
ACGGCUCAGUAACACGUGGCUAACCUGCCCUUGGGACGGGGACACCCCCGGGAAACUGGGGUUAAUCCCCGAUAGGCGAAGAACUCUGGAAUGAAUCUCCACCUAAAAGGCGCUUGUGCUAUGCUCGCAGGUGUCGCCCAAGGAUGGGGCCGCGACCGAUCAGGUUGUUGGUGAGGUAAUGGCUCACCAAGCCUUUUACCGGUGCGGGCCGUGGGAGCGGGAGCCCGGAGAUGGGCACUGAGACAAGGGCCCAGGCCCUACGGGGUGCAGCAGUCGCGAAAACUUUGCAAUACACGAAAGUGUGACAGGGCUAUCCCGAGUGCCAUCCGCUGAGGAAGGCUUUUACCCAGUUUAGAACGCUGGGAGAAUAAGGAGAGGGCAAGACUGGUGUCAGCCGCCGCGGUAAUACCAGCUCUUCGAGUGGUGUGGAUGUUUAUUGGGCCUAGAGCAUCCGUAGCUGGCUGGGCAAGUCCCCUGUUAAAUCCACCGAUUUAAUCGUUGGAGUGCGGGGGAUACUGCUCGGCUAGGGGACGGGAGAGGCAGACGGUAUUUUCGGGGUAGGGGUGAAAUCCUAUAAUCCCGAGAGGACCACCAGUGGCGAAGGCUGUCUGCUAGAACGCGCCCGACGGUGAGGGAUGAAAGCUGGGGGAGCGAACCGGAUUAGAUACCCGGGUAGUCCCAGCUGUAAACGAUGCAGGCUAGGUGUUUGGACGGCCACGUGCCGUUCUAGUGCCGCAGGGAAGCCGUUAAGCCUGCCGCCUGGGGAGUACGGCCGCAAGGCUGAAACUUAAAGGAAUUGGCGGGGGAGCAC